ACACACACUACACAGUCACCUUGGAACAGUGAGUGAGGGAGGCUGGAAUCAUCUUGCGGCAUUGUGAAGGAAUCAUUGACGGGGAGGAAGCCUUCACCUGUACUAUUAACCUGCAUAAGGGCCAAGAAAUCUGCUGCUGCUUGUUCAUCCUUUGUGUUCCUGUGAUCUUGGUGGAGUGGGAUGCAAAGCCAAGAGAGAGAUGGAGGUCUGGGAGAAGCUGCCGCGGAAGAAGAAGGAAGAG